UGAAAACCCUAAUAUUUUCUUAAGUUUUUGAGUUCGUCUUGGGUGCUAUGUUCAAUUAAUCUGUAUGUUUUGUGAUCCUGUGGUUUUACCCUAUGUUUGCUUGUUAGAGUAUCUGGUUGCAGCUAUUCCUGCCUAUUAUGUGAUCCUAUUCUAUUUAUUGUUCAAAAUGUUUCUGAAACUUCACUUCUCCUACCUGUAUUACAUUUAUUCUAUUAAUUAGGUCAUGCUCUAUGUGAAUUCCUGAUCUAUAUGUUUUUACCCUAUGUGUGCUUGUUAGAGUUGCUGAUUUUUGUCUGUAUGAGUUUGUUUAUUCUCAUGAGCUUAUGCUAAUUUCUCCUAAAUUAGUAUUGUUCUCUAUUUAUGAGUCUUCAAGUCCCUGUAUUGGUUCUUCAUCGAUCUUGCAUGAUAUUCUCUGCUAAUUCUUGAGAUAUCCCUUUAUUUAAGAUUGGUUUCCUAUUUAUCCUUGCCUAUAGAAUGUUACUCCACUCAUGUGUGAUAUUUUCCUUUGAUAAAUAUUGAUUCCCUGUAAUUAAAAUCUCACUCUAAGACCUCCUUACUGAUUUCUAGAAUUUGAAAUACCUCUUGCCUUAUUUCUCUGGCUGAUUCCGCUGUCAAACCAAUUUGGAUAUAUUUUCCUUAAAUAGGAUUUUGAACUUGACCUUAAUUGCAUGCUCUGUAUCUAUAGUACACUUGUACUACUUCCUUAUUGUGUUAUAAGCAGCUUUACUUGAUUCCUUUCCUUAUUUUGCCAUUGC
rnacentral:lncRNA from 1 species